UGUACUGUUUGAGUCAGGUUUUUCAUUGCUGUGACUAAAGGAUCCAACCAUAUCAAUUGUAAGGGAGGAAAUGUUUAUUUAAAGGCUCACAGUUUCAGAAAUCUUAGUCCAUAUAAGGCCGUCUUCAUUCCUCAGGGCUCAAGGUGAGGCAGGACAUCAUGGUGGAGCGUGUGGCAGAGGGAAGCAGCUCAUGUGGUGAUCAGGAAGCAGAAGGGUAUCCAAAUACAAAUAUAUACCCCCAAGCCACACCCACAAUGACCCACUUCUUCCAGCAUACCCAUCUGCCUCCCUUUCCCACUCAGUUAAUCCCAUCAGGGAUUAAUUCACUGAUGAGGUUUAGGCUAUACCCCAAUCAUUUCUCCUCUGAACCUUCUUGCAUUGUCUCACAUGUGAACUUCUGGGGACACCUCACAUCUAAACCAAAACAUAUACUCUGAGGCAAGUCAUUUGCUAGCUCUAGGAAUCAGUCAGCUCAGGAUCAGCAAGUCCCCAAGAUGUCAAAGUGUAAUAAAUAUGUCAUUUUAGUAUAGUCAUAUUAAUCCAUUAAUACUGUCAUAUUAAUACAGGGGAACACACCUAUUACCACAAAUAGGUAAUAGGUGGAGGGUGGGGUCAUGGUGGACAUUGUGCUAAACCUUCCCAUGCAAGUGUUAGAAAAGUUUCUAUCAUUAAAACACAAAAUUAAGAGGCAUGUGGAAAUGGGUGAAUUAAACAAUUGAUACAAUAUUUGGAUUAUAUCUGAAAGGCAAUGGAGAAUCAUUCACAAUCUUUAAGCAGGGGAGUGAAAGAUUCAUUUUCAUCGUAGAAUCUUCAUUUGGCAUUAGCAUAGAGGUAGAUUGCUGGUUGGAAAAUUGGAGGGGUAAUCAUCUAACAGAUUAUUCCAGUAAUCAAGUUAAAAAUUUAUACAUUGAUAUUAAUAGGAAUAGAAAUAAAGGGAGACCUUUAAAAUUUAUGAAGUUGAAUUA
rnacentral:lncRNA from 1 species